UAGAGGCUAUUGCUAUCAGGSUUUGACUAAGCCAUGCGAGUCGAGAGGUGAAAGACCUCGGCAUACUGCUCAGUAACACGUGGAUAAUCUGCCCUCAGGUGAGGAAUAAUCCCGGGAAACUGGGGCUAAUGCCUCAUAGGAGACGGGUGCUGGAAUGCUCUGUCUCCGAAAGGUCCGCCGCCUGAGGAUGAGUCUGCGUCCGAUUAGGUUGUUGUUGGGGUAACGGCCCAACAAGCCUUUGAUCGGUACGGGUUGUGGGAGCAAGAGCCCGGAGAUGGAUUCUGAGACAUGAAUCCAGGCCCUACGGGGCGCAGCAGGCGCGAAAACUUUACAAUGCGAGCAAUCGUGAUAAGGAAACCCUGAGUGCCUGUCAAUGCAGGCUGUUCUGGUGUCUAACACACACCAGGAGAAAGGGCGGGGCAAGACCGGUGCCAGCCGCCGCGGUAAUACCGGCUGCUCGAGUGAUAGCCACUUUUACUGGGCUUAAAGCGUUCGUAGCUUGGUCGUUAAGUCUCUGGGGAAAUCUUUUGGCUCAACCAAAAGGCGUCUCAGGGAAACUGACGAUCUUGGAACCGGGAGAGGUAAGACGUACUUCGGGGGUAGGAGUGAAAUCUUGUAAUCCCCGAGGGACGACCGAUGGCGAAGGCAUCUUACCAGAACGGCUUCGACAGUGAGGGACGAAAGCUGGGGGAGCAAACCGGAUUAGAUACCCGGGUAGUCCCAGCCGUAAACGAUGUGCGUUAGGUGUGUCAGUGACCACGAGUCGCUGAGGUGCCGAAAGGGAAACCGUGAAACGCACCGCCUGGGAAGUACGGUCGCAAGGCUGAAACUUAAAGGAAUUGGCGGGKGAGCACCACAWCSGGURGAGCCUGCGGUUUAAUUGGA
rnacentral:rRNA from 1 species